AUUGAACGCUGGCGGCAUGCCUUACACAUGCAAGUCGAACGGCAGCACGGGGCAACCUGGUGGCGAGUGGCGAACGGGUGAGUAAUGCAUCGGAACGUGCCAUUGAGUGGGGGAUAACGUAGCGAAAGUUGCGCUAAUACCGCAUAUUCUGUGAGCAGGAAAGCAGGGGACCGCAAGGCCUUGCGCUCUUUGAGCGGCCGAUGUCAGAUUAGCUAGUUGGCGAGGUAACGGCUUACCAAGGCGACGAUCUGUAGCGGGUCUGAGAGGAUGAUCCGCCACACUGGAACUGAGACACGGUCCAGACUCCUACGGGAGGCAGCAGUGGGGAAUUUUGGACAAUGGGCGCAAGCCUGAUCCAGCCAUGCCGCGUGAGUGAAGAAGGCCUCGGGUUGUUAAAGGUACGUAC
rnacentral:rRNA from 1 species